rnacentral:rRNA from 1 species
UACGAAGGGGGCUAGCGUUGCUCGGAAUCACUGGGCGUAAAGCGCACGUAGGCGGAUUGCUAAGUCAGGGGUGAAAUCCUGGAGCUCAACUCCAGAACUGCCUUUGAUACUGGCGAUCUUGAGUCCGGGAGAGGUGAGUGGAACUGCGAGUGUAGAGGUGAAAUUCGUAGAUAUUAGGAAGAACACCCAGUGGCGAAGGCGGCUCACUGG